rnacentral:rRNA from 1 species
UGGGGAAUAUUGGACAAUGGGCGCAAGCCUGAUCCAGCCAUGCCGCGUGAGUGAUGAAGGCCCUAGGGUUGUAAAGCUCUUUCAACGGUGAAGAUAAUGACGGUAGCAGGUAAAGAAACCCCGGCUAACUCCGUGCCAGCAGCCGCGGUAAUACGGAGGGGGUUAGCGUUGUUCGGAAUUACUGGGCGUAAAGCGCACGUAGGCGGACCAGAAAGUUGGGGGUGAAAUCCCGGGGGCUCAACCCCGGAACUGCCUCCAAAACUAUUGGUCUAGAGUUCGAGAGAGGUGAGUGGAAUUCCGAGUGUAGAGGUGAAAUUCGUAGAUAUUCGGAGGAACACCAGUGGCGAAGGCGGCUCACUGGCUCGAUACUGACGCUGAGGUGCGAAAGUGUGGGGAGCAACGAGGAUUAGAUACCCUGGUAGUCCACACCGUAAACGAUGAAUGCCAGUCGUCGGGUAGCAUGCUAUUCGGUGACACACCUAACGGAUUAAGCAUUCCGCCUGGGGAGUACGGUCGC